rnacentral:rRNA from 1 species
UACAGAGGUCCCAAGCGUUUGUUCGGAUUCACUGGGCGUAAGGGGUGCGUAGGCGGUCGGGUAAGUCUGAUGUGAAAUCUCACAGCUUAACUGUGAAACUGCAUUGGAUACUAUUCGGCUUGAGAGUUGGAGGGGGGACUGGAAUUCUUGGUGUAGCAGUGAAAUGCGUAGAUAUCAAGAGGAACACCAGUGGCGAAGGCGAGUCCCUGGACAACUUCUGACGCUGAGGCACGAAAGCUAGGGGAGCAAACAGG